CGCAGAUGGUAGAGGAGACUGACAGGCAUUCAUUCUGUCACCAGUUUGCAUUACAAUAGAACGUACUCGUAGAUCUGUGGCAGCUGGAGUCCGUAGCCUACAUGCGCUCGCAUACAAAAUACAGACAUCUGCGGGUUAAUUCCUCGUGCCAUCCAAACACUCCUUUGUCCAGGCUUCAGUCUUGUUAUUUACUUUCCAUUAUUAACCGCCCAUCAGAGGCAGCUGCUCCGCUCUCACCCGACCUCUCUGCUCAAGGCAAACUGACGCACUCCACGGAGGAUUAGUCGGACACAGUUGGAGCCCUUUAUCGCGCCAUCCUUGCUGACACAGAUGGUGCGAGACAGGUGCAUUUUGGACCGAUGGUCAAACUUGCAUCAAUGCAAAAGUGGCCAAACCCACAGCCCAGCUGGCAGGACGCACGUCCCCAUGACAACUGAGAUUCCCUGGGGUCCCUGAUGGACUGAUGAAUACAGGAGUAGGGAGACAGGUAUGCGUCCAGUAUAUCCACACAUAUUGAAGGGGUUAUUCUAAAGACAGAGGAUUAACCACUACUAUUGGUGGUAAUGAUGUCUUGUUGGCUCCGUUCCUCCAUGAAAUUUGUAUUGACUAUUGUUUUUAUUAGGGGAGCUACCGAAGCAAGAUAUUCAUUUCAAUUAGGUCAGUGUAAGGUAAAACAUUUCAAAUAAGAUAAAAAAAAAGGUUAAUCAGGUCAGUUAGUAACUGUUCCUAAUCACCUAUGAUUCUGGGAAUUGUAUUAACCCUUCCCUCCUGCAUCUCAUGGUAUCUUUAGGCAGUAGUCAAGUCCAAUGGUCCAGCCUCUCUUUGGUAGGGUUUUGGGGGCAGGUGUUCCAGGGGGUUGCGUUCCACUUUCUGCUGCUUGCUGCUCUGUGUUUCUCUCCAGAUAUGCUGAGGAGGAUACUGAGAUGGUGCCAGCCCUCAGAGGCCAUUUAGACGAGUCAACAACAUGACCAGACUGACAGAGCUGUCUACAAAGCUGUUUUCUAAACAGUUGUCAACGCGGUUCAUCCUUACCGAAUUGGAACUGGGACAGGAACUGGGACCUAUGGCUUUCACCCACUGACGAAUGAACAUUACUACAAGGCUACUGACGGAGCACACUUCUUUUGCUAUCGAUUUGUGUUAGAAGGAGACCUUACAGUGAUUAUUAUUGUUAUUAUUAUUAUUUGGAAGUACCAUUGGCACGUUGCUGGCCCCUUUAAUUGUAGUCUAUUUUAUGCCGACGUCAUUCAGGACGUCAUUCAGGACCACAUUUCAUGCCAUAAGAGAGACCCAUAAAGGGUGGGGUUUUAGUGUUGUCUGAUGCUUUGGCGCUUUCAUUUCUUUAAAUAUUGUUUACCUGAGGGAGCUCUCUCCCCUCCUCUGUAAAAUAACACUUUAUCAUCCCCUUCCACACUGUUCAGCUGAUCAAAGCAGCGAGAGACUAACACCUCUCUCUGAUGCCUGCUUCUCCUCAUGCUGUCAGCACCUUUCUCUUCUCGGUAACCUUGGCAACACUUUUAACACCUUACUCACUUCCUUCUACCUCUGAUGUCUAACAUGACUAACAAGGUUGAGUCUGCUAAGAUGGCCUUCCUGCUAAUUUAAUUGAUGUGCUCCUAAAGGCAUCAGCAUGCUUCAGUUUGGCUGACGCCUUCCCGAAGUUGGCUAGGCAAACCGAACAAGUGGGCUUGCAUCCUCCCUUAAAAGAUCUUCACUUGGAAAACAAUAAAAAAGCGACAAUAGUACCGAUUGUCCAUUUUGACAUGCCAUAGCCAGUAUAAACUUACUCCAAAUAUUCAGAAUGAAUCUAAGAUAACUCAAGAAAUCCGUCAUACAAUUUGACAUUUUUGCAGAGAUCAUAGUCGCGCAAUUUGACAUCUAAUUGAGAUGUCUGGUGCAGUAUUUCUCAAUGAAAACAUUUGCAUGAAAACAUGUCGUCUCUUGUUGAAUUACAACAAAGACUUUUUUGAAGAAUCCCUACUGUUGACCAAUCACCAACGAAGGAGUGUAGAUUUCGGGCUACCGACUUCGGCUCGCCUCUAGAAAAAAUGUUGAGCUCGAACAGCCGAAAAAAACAUUACUAAAGUCCAGAGCUAACAAAAACAUCACAAAAUGAUGUUAUAAUAUAUGCACAAAUUCUAUUGAACUGUUUUGGCUGGGAAGCAUGCGGACGUCUUAACCCAGCUGACAUACCCAUACCACUCCAGCAGCUCAUGCUUGUUAUCGUUAGUCUACUCUAACGUUACAGGAGUGUUAUGAGGAUGUUACGACUUUAAUAGGGUUGUGUCAGUGUUUGUGGCGGUGUUUGGAUGGUCUCCCGAGGCCUGGUUUGUCUUGUGAUUUCUGCAUGUACUGCAACUCCCAAUAACCUCAGCUGGAGUCAUAUAGAACUAACCAACACCAGAGUAAUCCUGGUUUGCUAACCUGGACUAACAAUCUAACAGUCACUAAUCAAGAUAAUCAACCAAACUAAACCCCAAGCCCCGUUGAGGGUAGGACGGCUCAUUUGAAUGGCCGGAACGGAGCAAAUGGAAUGGUAUCAAACACAUGGAAACCAUAUAUUUGAUGUAUUUGAUACCAGUCUAUUCAUUCUGCUCCAGCCAUGAGCCCUUCCUCCCAAAUUAAGGUGCCAACAAAGUCCUGUGGUGUAGGUGUACAUUUUGAGUUUAAGAGUGUGGCUCUUAGUGUAAUUAAUUACCUUACCCAUUGAAACCAAACCAUCAGCUCUCUUGGCAUUCCUUAAUAAAUACACUAACAAAUACCCUCUAAUACCUAACAGUACUAAUGUCUGGUAACAGACAUUUUGUUACUUACACUAACCUGAACUAUACUAACUUGUACCUCUCCCAUUUUCCUGAAACCUUUCUUCCACCAGACACAGAUCACCCAAAAUCAUAUACAAUAACUAUGUAUUUAUCUAUCUGUCAUAACCUUAAGCUCAGUAAGUUGCUUGUUGAGAUGUUUUACUUUUGGCCCCUAAAGCACAACGGUGAGAAUGAUUCCAGGAUCUGGGAUGGGAAGCUGGAUUAACCAAUAGAUUUAAAGACAAAGCGCACCUACCUACCUGUAGCUCACUGGGUUGACCACACACUUCUGCUCAGGGGACGCCUAAAAACAUGUUACAAAUGUUUCAGUAACUAUGCUAAAGAAUUGUAUUAUUUUUUGUAAAAAGUGUUCCAUCUUAAUAGUUUAACAAAUAAUGGCUGAAAAAUGUUUGUCCCCCUGUCCAUUGUGUGGCCAACCUCUAAAAGGUGUUGCAGCUCAGUGCUUGGUUUGUAGCCUGCAUAGACACAUGUGUAUUCUCUUAUUAGAUAAACCAAAGUAAAUAGCAACCCUUACCUGCUUUACUACUAACUGAGUGGUGACUGGUAUAUGAACAACAACCCUGGAUAAGGCCUAACACUUUGGCCAUUGAUUUCUUGCUCUUACAGUAUGUUAGUAUCUUCUCUCAGACUAACACGUGGUGCUUCUUUCAAUGAAGUCUAACCAUGCUGUGACCAACUUAUCACCCAUCACUUCUUCCUGCCCCUUGGUGAGAUCAAACAGCAUCUAGUAGGCCAUGCAGUAUCGUUUCUUUACUUCCUGAGUCGUCAUGAGGAUAGACAUCCCUGUGUCCUUGAUCGUGUGACACUUUACUUAACCUGCACUAGAGUGAGAAAGCACUAACUAUUGGGGCAUGAAACAGCUUCCCAGAAACUAACAAACUAACUAACCUACUAAUGAACUAAUUAUCUAACAAACUAACUGAAAUGACUAAUUGUGUGCUGAGAGUUAUCAGGUUUGGAGGUUUAUGUUCAGCAAGCCAUCCCCCUCUCUGGUGUGUGUGUGUGUGUGUGUGUGUGUGUGUGUGUGUGUGUGUGUGUGUGUGUGUGUGUGUGUGUGUGUGUGUGUGCGUGUGUGUGUGUGUGUGCAUGUAAUGUAUGCUGCAACUAGCUCUGACAGUCUCACGUCAGAAUUAGACGUUCAUCCAUGUUUCUCAAACAUCACAUUUCAAAUUUCUUCCAAACUUCAAAUUUCAGUGUUUAAGGCUAAGGUUAGGUAUUAACUACGAAUGGUUAAGGUUUGGAAUAGGCUUAAAACAAAAAUCUCAAAAACAACUUCAUAUUGAGGGAUUUGAACACACAACUUUUGGGACACAAGGCAGAUGCCAUUUGCUAUCUGCCAUCCCCACCUAUAACCCCCUAGAAAAACUGAAACCUACUUGAAUCUAACAGCACUCUCACUGUUGCCCUUAGAGGCCAGUUUCCACAUCAUCUCCCGACGUCCUCAGACAUGGAAGGACGUUGAAUAUUGACUUGUAUCGAGGGUGAUCUGGCUAGCAGACCUGUGGUUAUUAAUACUAACCUGUAUGUACUGUUGAUGAUGUUGGCUGGGCUUGUAAUUUCAAACACAUUAACAUUAACUACUCUUUGCUUUGUGCACAGAGUCUGAAACAGAAUCUUCUCCCAUUUUCCUGAAACCUUUCUUCCACCAGACACAGAUCACCCAAAAUCAUAUACAAUAACUAUGUAUUUAUCUAUCUGUCAUAACCUUAAGCUCAGUAAGUUGCUUGUUGAGAUGUUUUACUUUUGGCCCCUAAAGCACAACGGUGAGAAUGAUUCCAGGAUCUGGGAUGGGAAGCUGGAUUAACCAAUAGAUUUAAAGACAAAGCGCACCUACCUACAUGUAGCUCACUGGGUUGACCACACACUUCUGCUCAGGGGACGCCUAAAAACAUGUUACAAAUGUUUCAGUAACUAUGUUAAAGAUGAUUAUUUUUUAAGUUGUCCAUCUUAAUAGUUUAACAAAUAAUGGCUGACAAAUGUUUGUCCCCCUGUCCAUUGUGUGGCCAACCUCUAAAAGGUGUUGCAGCUCAGUGCUUGGUUUGUAGCCUGCAUAGACACGUGUAUUCUCUUAUUAGAUAAACCAAAGUAAAUAGCAACCCUUACCUGUUUUACUACUAACUGAGUGGUGACUGGUACUAACAACCCCAGAUGAGGCCUCAGAAUUUGGCCAUUGAUUCUUUGCUCUUACGCAGGUUGACGUUUAUUGUCAUGAGUCUUGUCCUGAAGGCAGAACUGACCGAUUUCCCCUUAGAUAGGCCAGCUGCAAAGUCAAAAUUGUCUAUAUUGUAAAAAUAAAUGUUUUUGUUUUUUGGUCAUUAGCACUAACAUUGUGGGUAUGGAUACAUUUAACAUUAGGUUUAACAUCAGAUUUCAUGACUUUGUGGUUGUGCUACCUAGUGACCACUCUGCAGAGUGAACUCCAGAACAACAUUCAUGACAAAAAACACUAACCUGCUGCUCUUACUAACAUACUGUAUCUUCUCUCAGACUAACAUGUGGUGCUUCUUUCAAUGCUGUCUAACCAUGCUGCGACCAACUUAUCACCCAUCACUUCAUCCUGCCCUUUGGUGAGAUCAAACAGCAUCUAGUAGGCCAUGCAGUAUCGUGUCUUUACUUCCUGAGUCGUCAUGAGGAUAGACAUCCCUGUGUCCUUGAUCGUUUGACACUUUACUUAACCUGCACUAGAGUGAGAAAGCACUAACUAUUGGGGCAUGAAACAGCUUCCCAUGAAACUAACAAACCAACUAACCUACUAAUUAACUAAUUAUCUAACAAACUAACUGAAAUGACUAAUGUUGUGCUGAGAGUUAUCAGGUUUUGGUUCAGCAAGCCAUCCCCUCCUGUGUGUGUGUGUGUGUACGUGUGCGUGUUGCGUGUGUACGUGUGUGUGUACAUUGAUUCUCAAACUGUGUGCAUAAUGCCGUCAUUGUUUUUGUCUGAAUGAGUGUUAAGGAUUCAGCAUGUUCCAGUUCGGCUGGCGCCUAGCCAAAUUCGGCUAGGUGAACCGAAUGAGUCUGCCACAUACUCCCUUAAAAGACCUUUGCUUGAAAAUUUGAAAAAGCAGCAAUAGUACUGUUUGUCAAUUUGAGAUGCCAUAGCCAGUACAUGCUUCCUUAAAAUAGUCAGCAUUAAUCGAAGAUAAUUCAGGAAAUCUGUCAUUAAUUUAGACUUUUUUGCAGAGGAGAUCUUAGUCAUGCAAUAGUACAUCUAAGAUUUUUGGUGCAGUAUUUCUCAAUUAAUAAAUGUGCAUGAAAACGAGUCGUCUAUCUUUAAAUGACAACAAAGACUUUAUUGAAGAAUCCCUACGGUUGACCAAUCACCGAUGAAUGGGGGUUAAUUUCGUCUCAGAACUUCGGUUUGCCUCUAGAAUGUUUUGGAUGUGUCAGAACAGCCGAAAAAAGCCCACCGAAGUCCAAAACGAACAAAAACGUCACAUAAUGUCUUCAUAAUAUAUGCACAAACUCUUCCGAACUGUGUUGGCUGGGUUUUUCUAUGGAGUAACGUUAUGCUAUAGCAAUGUUGUCUUCAUCCACUAUUUACACAAAUGACAGAUGAUAAAAUUAUUGUAGAGGCUGUUUUGUUAGACUUCAGUGCGGCUUUUGACAUGAUCGAUCAUAGUCUGCUGCUGGAAAAACGUAUGUGUUAUGGCUUUACAUCCCCUGCUAUAUCGUGGAUAAAGAGUUACCUGUCUAACAGAACACAGAUGGUGUUUUAAUGGAAGCCUCUCCAACAUAAUCCAGGUAGAAUCAGGAAUUUCCCAGGGCAGCCCGUUACUUUUUUCAAUCUGUAGUAAUGACAUGCCACUGGCUCUACUCAAUUGCGGAUGACUCAACACUUUACCCGUCAGCUACUACAGCGACUGAAAUGACCGCAACACUUAACAAAGAGCUGCGGUUAGUUUCAGAAUGGGUGGCAAGGAAUAAGUUCGUCCUAAAUAUUUCUAAAACUAAAAGCAUUGUAUUUGGGACAAAUCAUUCACAUAACCCUAAACCUCAACUUAAUCUUGUAAUACAUAAUGUGGAAACUGAGCAAGUUGAGGUGACUAAACUGCUUGGAGUAACCCUGGAUUGUGUCAAAACUGUCAUGGUCAAAACAUAUUGAUAGAACAGAAGCUAAGAUGGAGAAAAGUCUGUCCGUAACAAACAGCUUGGACACAGUUCGGACACCCAUGCACAAGACAUGCCACAAGAGGUCUCUUCAGAGUCCCCAAGUCCAGAACAGACUAUGGGAGGUGCACAUUACUACAUAGAGCCAUGACUACAUGGAACUCAAAAUCAACAUCAAGUAACUGAUGUUUUGAUUUAAAAAUCAGAUAAAAUACACCUUAUGGAACAGCAGGGACUAUGAAGCAACACAAACAUAGGCACAUACACUUAACAUAGGCACACACACACAUAUACACACACACACAAUAACAUACGCACUAUACACACACAUAAACAGGGACUUUGUAUUGUAGAUAUUUGGUAGUGGAGUAGGAGCCUGAGGGCACACAGUAUGUUGAGAAAUUUGUUGUGAAUGUAUUGUAAUGUUUUUAAAAUUGUACAACUGCAUUAAUUUAGCUGUUUGGCAGCAGCUAAUGGGGAUUAAUAGUAAAAACAAAUGCACAUUUAGAACUGAUUUAGCAAAAACUAAGACCACAUUUAUUAUACAGACUCAACUGUCAAAGGUGGGUUCUAUUCUUGGAUAAAGACAAGCUUCUUACGGCUUGACAAUCAAAUUGUGUGAUCAAACGAUGAAGCAGUUUUGCUUUGGAGGACCUAGUGUCUUUCAGAGUAGCUUCAAUCAAAAGCGUCACUAGUCAACACAGUGUCUAAGUGGUUUUGAUCCUUGUCCUUUGUGUGGUGUCACUACAGAAUUAUUCACAAAAUAUGGCUGGGAUGUUGAAAAACCUUACUAUCUUUUAUUUCAUCUGCUGUAUUGAUAAAACAUAUUUACCAUGCCCUUGUCUCUGUUGAAUAAACUAUUUUAAAAAGUA